ACCUGCUGCCCCAGCCAUGGGCAGUCUGGCACUCGUCAGGUAGAUCCUGCCCCUGAUGGUUCAGUUGUUUGCACAUAUUUUUUAUAGCUAGUCACCCAACUCCGCCUCGAGCCCUAGACUGCGGCGGCGAGGGGAUUGUGGCGUCAUUAGCACUGCCUCCGUUUUCUCCUGCCGGCACCGCCGUCAGGCCAGCUAGAUCUAGGUUAAUUGCAUCAGAACCCAUUGUUCCAGACUUUGGAAUUGAAGGAAGCAUCGAUCAAAGGUAAUUGCAGAGAGGAAUUCUUUGAUCCUACGAGUGACAAAUGGAUUUCCAAUCCUAAUGUUUCUUUGUGGCUUGCGGUCAGAGACCCUCUCCGAAAAUAGAAGGAGCUGAUCUGUUGAUUAAUUGUGAGCAUAAUCUCCCAAUCUGAGCAUCUAGUGUUGGAUUUGCCGGUGUCCGUCAUUAUCGUACCCGUGUUUGAUCUCGCCCAUGUCAGCGGACCACUCUUGGACACCUAGUUCCUUGUUUUUCUCCACUGCCGUGCCGGCGAUGCCACCUUGGCGCCUCAUCCAACUGUGCGACUCUGUAGAGGCGCAUCGGAGCAGCGACAGUGGUAAGGGAGAGGAGAGACAUACUGGCUAGUGUAUGUGCUUUAGACUUAAGGAUCCGCAUCCAUAAGGUAUAUCGUGGUUGAGCAGUAGGGGUUCUUGGUUUGGAUUGAUUAAUUUUCAUGUUGCGUUUUCCAGUAGAUAUCUCUGCUCAUGCUUAGAUAUGAGUGAAUUCAUUUCUUUUUGUUCCUUCCGACUUCCGUGCUAUGAUACUAUUCCUUCCCUGCUGCAAGGCUGCAAAUUACUUACUAUAGGUGAAGAAAGUUUUGGGAUGCAGGUGAAGGAUUUGUGUGGUCGAUUAGGGCUAUGGUAUUGCGGUGUUCAUUCUGUUCUUGCAAUUUAUUAUGCUAUCGUGGAAUUUAAUUUCACAUUGGCAGAAACAUGUCCCUGCAUAUGGGGUAAUCAUAUCCACUCGUUCAGCUCCUAAUUUCCAUUUGCGAUCUUAAACUCUUUCUAAAAAAUAUAUCCCUUCAUUCUAAAUUUGAGUUAGGUUCUUAUUAAUCUUUCUACUAUAUAUGUUGCUUAUGUUUCCCAUGUGAUCUAUCCAGUAACAUCGUUUUAUCUGUCACUGUUAGUCCCAUUGCAUUCAGAAACAACAGUUUGGACUAUUCGUUUUUGAGUGAACUUAUACUCUGGAAAUUAAUUAGUUGUUUACUUUUAGUCCAUGCCGGCACAUUUACUUGUUGAUACGUUUGUUCAUAUCCGCUGAUAUAUUCUGUCAUGAGACCAUUACUGCUGCUAUAUCUGCAGAACUUUUUGAAGCAUCAGCAUUAAUUAUUGUCACAUUCCUUUAUUGUCAGGUACUUGGAACAGAAUGGGCUGAAUGCUUAUUUGAACAAGUACAUAAUUGAGCUUGACCAUCAGCUUGGAGCCCUUGUUGGAAGGAAACCAUGGUCGAAGUUUGUUAAUGCAGAUAACCAACAUCUAGUAUCUCCUGAGAUGUGGUCUAAUGGCUCUUGCAUUUGAAAUUUACUACACUAGGAUAGUUCUCGGCUCUAGCUUGAUUUCAAUGUUUAUUUGUAGGCCAUAGAUUUCCUCGACAAGCUUCUGUGUUAUGUGUUGGUAUCUUGAGAAUUUGCACCAUGUGUUGGUGCCAAAGCUUUUAUUAUGAUCUAGAUGAUGGGAUUCAUGUUUAUGACCUGUGUCAUUAGAGCUGGAAUGAGUAAGCUCUGUUUCUGGGUCUCAAUUAACUGAUUAGAGCUAGAUUUUCAGUGAUUCUGCAAGUCAAUCAACCUAGAUAUGCAUUUAUGUUUUCUUA